AAUCUGGCUUCAGGUUCGGGACAACAGUUGGAAACGGCUGCUAAUACCGGAUGUGCCCUUGGGUGAAAGAUUUAUCACCUGAAGAUGAGCUCGCGUCUGAUUAGCUAGUAGGUGUGGUAAGAGCGCACCUAGGCGACGAUCAGUAGCUGGUCUGAGAGGAUGAUCAGCCACACUGGGACUGAGACACGGCCCAGACUCCUACGGGAGGCAGCAGUGGGGAAUUUUCCGCAAUGGGCGAAAGCCUGACGGAGCAAUACCGCGUGAGGGAGGAAGGCUCUUGGGUUGUAAACCUCUUUUCUCAGGGAAGAAUGAUGACGGUACCUGAGGAAUAAGCAUCGGCUAACUCCGUGCCAGCAGCCGCGGUAAUACGGAGGAUGCAAGCGUUAUCCGGAAUGAUUGGGCGUAAAGCGUCCGCAGGUGGCAAUGUAAGUCUGCUGUCAAAGCGUCUGGCUCAACCAGAUAAAGGCAGUGGAAACUACAUAGCUAGAGUAAGGUAGGGGUAGAGGGAAUUCCUGGUGUAGCGGUGAAAUGCGUAGAGAUCAGGAAGAACACCGGUGGCGAAAGCGCUCUGCUGGACCUUAACUGACACUGAGGGACGAAAGCUAGGGGAGCGAAUGGGAUUAGAUACCCCAGUAGUCCUAGCCGUAAACGAUGGAUACUAGGCGUUGC
rnacentral:rRNA from 1 species